ACUCCUACGGGAGGCAGCAGUGGGGAAUAUUGGACACUGGGCGCAAGCCUGAUCCAGCCAUGCCGCGUGAGUGAUGAAGGCCCUAGGGUUGUAAAGCUCUUUCACCGGUGAAGAUAAUGACGGUAACCGGAGAAGAAGCCCCGGCUAACUUCGUGCCAGCAGCCGCGGUAAUACGAAGGGGGCUAGCGUUGUUCGGAUUUACUGGGCGUAAAGCGCACGUAGGCGGACUAUUAAGUCAGGGGUGAAAUCCCGGGGCUCAACCCCGGAACUGCCUUUGAUACUGGUAGUCGUGAUUCGAGAGAGGUGAGUGGAAUUCCGAGUGUAGAGGUGAAAUUCGUAGAUAUUCGGAGGAACACCAGUGGCGAAGGCGGCUCACUGGCUCGAUACUGACGCUGAGGUGCGAAAGCGUGGGGAGCAAACAGGAGUAGAAACCCUGGUAGUCCCA
rnacentral:rRNA from 1 species